rnacentral:rRNA from 1 species
UACGUAGGGGGCUAGCGUUGUCCGGAUUCAUUGGGCGUAAAGAGCGUGUAGGCGGCCAGGUAGGUCGGUUGUGAAAACUGGAGGCUCAACCUUCAGAGGUCGACCGAAACCAUCUGGCUAGAGUCCGGGAGAGGAGAGUGGAAUUCCUGGUGUAGCGGUGAAAUGCGCAGAUAUCAGGAAGAACACCCGUGGCGAAAGCGGCUCUCUGGAACGGUACUGACGCUGAGACGCGAAAAGCGUGGGGGAGCGAACAGG